rnacentral:rRNA from 1 species
UACGUAGGGUGCGAGCGUUAAUCGGAAUUACGUGGGCGUAAAGCGUGCGCAGGCGGUUUUGUAAGCCAGAUGUGAAAUCCCCGGGCUUAACCUGGGAAUGGCAUUUGGGACUGCAAGGCUGGAGUGCGGCAGAGGAGACUGGAAUUCCUGGUGUAGCAGUGAAAUGCGUAGAUAUCAGGAGGAAUACCGAUGGCGAAGGCAGGUCUCUGGGCCGAUACUGACGCUGAGGAGCGAAAGCGUGGGGAGCGAACAGG